rnacentral:rRNA from 1 species
UGGGGAAUUUUGGACAAUGGGCGAAAGCCUGAUCCAGCAAUGCCGCGUGUGUGAAGAAGGCCUUCGGGUUGUAAAGCACUUUUGUCCGGAAAGAAAUCCUUGGCUCUAAUACAGUCGGGGGAUGACGGUACCGGAAGAAUAAGCACCGGCUAACUACGUGCCAGCAGCCGCGGUAAUACGUAGGGUGCAAGCGUUAAUCGGAAUUACUGGGCGUAAAGCGUGCGCAGGCGGUUUGCUAAGACCGAUGUGAAAUCCCCGGGCUCAACCUGGGAACUGCAUUGGUGACUGGCAGGCUAGAGUAUGGCAGAGGUGGGUAGAAUUCCCACGUGUAGCAGUGAAAUGCGUAGAGAUGUGGAGGAAUACCGAUGGCGAAGGCAGCCCCCUGGGCCAAUACUGACGCUCAUGCACGAAAGCGUGGGGAGCAAACAGGAUUAGAUACCCUGGUAGUCCACGCCCUAAACGAUGUCAACUAGUUGUUGGGGGAUUCAUUUCCUUAGUAACGUAGCUAACGCGUGAAGUUGACCGCCUGGGGGAGUACGGUCGCAAGAUUAAAACUCAAAUGAAUUGACGGGGUCAUAGCUGUUU